rnacentral:rRNA from 1 species
CGACGUGGCCGCAGCAAGUUGAAAAUACCGCAGCUGCGAUCACCGAAGUUAAGCGACAACUUUGAGAAUGGUCAGUACUUAGAUGGAUGACCACUUGGGAACACCCAUGCGCUAUUGGCGG